rnacentral:rRNA from 1 species
UACGAAGGGGGCUAGCGUUGCUCGGAAUCACUGGGCGUAAAGCGCACGUAGGCGGAUCCUUAAGUCGGGGGUGAAAUCCUGGAGCUCAACUCCAGAACUGCCCUUGAUACUGGCGGUCUCGAGUCCGGGAGAGGUGAGUGGAACUGCGAGUGUAGAGGUGAAAUUCGUAGAUAUUCGCAAGAACACCAGUGGCGAAGGCGGCUCACUGGCCCGGUACUGACGCUGAGGUGCGAAAGCGUGGGGAGCAA